UACGUAGGGGGCAAGCGUUGUCCGGAAUUAUUGGGCGUAAAGCGCGCGCAGGCGGUCCUUUAAGUCUGAUGUGAAAGCCCACGGCUCAACCGUGGAGGGUCAUUGGAAACUGGGGGACUUGAGUGCAGAAGAGGAAAGCGGAAUUCCACGUGUAGCGGUGAAAUGCGUAGAGAUGUGGAGGAACACUAGUGGCGAAGGCGGCUUUCUGGUCUGUAACUGACGCUGAGGCGCGAAAGCGUGGGGAGCAAACAGG
rnacentral:rRNA from 1 species